rnacentral:rRNA from 1 species
GUGGGGAAUAUUGGACAAUGGGCGAAAGCCUGAUCCAGCCAUGCCGCAUGUGUGAAGAAGGUCUUCGGAUUGUAAAGCACUUUAAGUUGGGAGGAAGGGCAGUAAGUUAAUACCUUGCUGUUUUGACGUUACCGACAGAAUAAGCACCGGCUAACUUCGUGCCAGCAGCCGCGGUAAUACGAAGGGUGCAAGCGUUAAUCGGAAUUACUGGGCGUAAAGCGCGCGUAGGUGGUUUUGUAAGUUGGAGGUGAAAUCGCCGGGCUCAACCUGGGAACUGCCUCCAAAACUGCAUGACUAGAGUACGGUAGAGGGUAGUGGAAUUUCCUGUGUAGCGGUGAAAUGCGUAGAUAUAGGAAGGAACACCAGUGGCGAAGGCGACUACCUGGACUGAUACUGACACUGAGGUGCGAAAGCGUGGGGAGCAAACGGGAUUAGAAACCCUUGUAGUCC